rnacentral:lncRNA from 1 species
AUUGAUCCUAAUGAGACAAAAUCGGGAAAAAAAUCGAUUGGAAUAAAAGAAAUCAGUAAAAAAGUACCUCGCUGGUCCCAUAAAUUAAUCACCGAAUUGGACCAACAAAUGGGUGAAUUUAAAGAUCGCGCAUCAAUGGAUCAUCAACUUCGUUCAAGAAAAGCCAAACGUGUAGUUAUUUUUACUGACAACAAGGCGACUAAGGAUGCUGAGGAGGAAGUGGCUUUAAUAAGCUAUUCGCAACAAUCAGAUUUUCGGCGAGGUAUAAUUACAGGCUCUAUGCGGGCUCAAAGGCGCAAAACAUUUAUUUCGAAACUAUUUCAAGCAAAUGUACAUUCCCCCCUUUUUGUCGACAGAAUAACCCCCCUACGUCUUUUUUCUUUUGAUAUCUCUGAACUAAUUAAACCAAUUUUGAAAAAUUGGACAGAUAAAGAGGGAGAAUUCAAGAUUCUAGAGUCUAGAGAAGAACAAACAAAAAGAGAAGAGAAAAAAGAAAAGGACAAAAAGAGGAUAACAAAAGAAAGGAACAGGCACGGAUAGCGAUCGAAGAAGCCUGGGAUACCAUUCCUUUGGCACAAAUAAUAAGAGGUUACAUGUUAAUAACUCAAUCAAUUCUUCGAAAAUAUAUUCUAUUACCUGCAUUGAUAAUAGCCAAAAAUAUCGGGCGUAUGUUAUUCUUGCAACUUCCUGAAUGGUCUGAAGAUUUACAGGAAUGGAAUAGAGAAAUGCAGAUUAAAUGUACUUAUAAUGGUGUUCAAUUAUCAGAAACAGAAUUUCCCAAAAAUUGGUUAAGAGACGGGAUUCAGAUCAAAAUUUUAUUUCCUUUUUGUCUGAAACCUUGGCAUAUAUCUAAACUGUACCCCUCCCGCAGAGAGCUAAUGAAAAAGCAAAAACAAAAAGAUGAUUUUUGUUUUUUAACAGUUUGGGGAAUGGAAGCUGAACUUCCCUUUGGUUCUCCCCGAAAGCGACCUUCAUUUUUUGAGCCCAUUUUUAAGGAACUCGAAAAAAAAAUUGGAAAAUUCAAAAAGAAAUAUUUUCUAACUCUAAAAAUUUUAAAAGGAAAAACAAAAUUAUUUAGAAGAGUUUCAAAAGAAACCACAAAAUUGUUUAUCAAAAGUAUUGGAUUUCUAAAAAAAAUAAAAAAAGAACUUUCAAAAGUAAAUCUAAUUGUAUUAUUUAGAUUCAAAGAAAUAUCUGAAUCCAAUGAAACAAAAAAAGAAAAAGAUUAUCUAAUUAGUAAUCAAAUAAUUAACGAAUCAUUUCGUCAAAUUGAAUCUGGAAAUUGGCCAAAUUCUUCACUGAUAGAAACAAAAAUGAAGGAUUUGACUGAUAGAACAAGUACAAUCAAAAAUAAAAUAGAAAGAAUUACAAAAGAGAAAAAGAAAGUAACUCCAGAAAUAGACAUUAAUCCUAAUAAAACAAAUAAUAUUAAAAAAUUCGAAUCGCCAAAAAAAAUUUUCCAAAUAUUAAAAAGCAGAAAUACUCGAGUAAUAUGGAAAUUCCAUUAUUUUCUAAAAUUAUUCAUUCAAAGAUUAUACAUCAAUUUAUUUUUAUCUAUCAUUAAUAUUCCUAGAAUUACUACACAACUCUUUCUUAAAUCAACAAACAAAUUGAUUGAGAAAUUCAUCUCCAAUAAUGAAAUAAAUCAAGAAAAAAUUAAUAAUAAAAAAAAAAUUCACUUUAUGUUUAUUUCGACUAUAAAAAAGUCACUUUAUAAUAUUAGUAAGAAAAAUUCACAUAUUUUGUGUGAUUUAUCCUACUUGUCACAAGCAUAUGUAUUUUACAAAUUAUCACAAACCCAAGUUAUUAAUUUUUCUAAAUUUAGAUCUGUUCUUCAAUAUAACACAACGUCUUGUUUCCUUAAGACUAAAAUAAAGGACUAUUUUAAAACACUAGGAAUAUUUCAUUCGGAAUUAAAAGAUAAGAAACUUCAGAGUUAUAGAAUAAAUCAAUGGAAAAACUGGUUAAGAUGGCAUUAUCAAUACGAUUUAUCUCAGAUUAGAUGGUCUAGAUUAAUGCCAAAAAAAUGGCGAACUAGGGUUAAUCAAAGUUGUAUGGCUCAAAAUAAAAAUAGAAACUUAAACAAAUGGAAUUCAUAUGAAAAAGACCAAUUACUUCAUUACAAAAAAGAAAAUGAUUCGGAACUCUAUUCAUUAUCAAACGAAAAAGAUAAUUUUAAAAAAUGUUAUGGAUAUGGUCUUUUAGCAUAUAAAUCGAUUAAUUAUGAAAAUAAAAGUGACUCAUUUUUUUCUAGAUUACCCUUUGAAGUUCAAGUAAAGAAGAACUUAGAAAUUUCGUAUAAUUCCAACACGUCCAAACACAACUUUGUUGAUAUGCCCGGCAAUCUUCAUAUCAAUAAUUAUCUAAGAAAGGGCAAUAUUCUAGAUAGAGAAAGAAAUCUCGAUAGAAAAUAUUUUGAUUGGAAAAUUAUCCAUUUUUCUCUUAGACAAAAAGGAGAUAUUGAAGCCUGGGUUAAGAUCGAUACCAACAGUAAUCCAAAUACUAAAAUUGGUAUUAAUAAUUAUCAAAUAAUUGAUAAAAUUGAGAAAAAGGGGGUUUUUUAUCUUACAACUCAUCAACAUCCAGAAAAAACUCAAAAAAAUUCGAAAAAAGUCUUUUUUGAUUGGAUGGGAAUGAAUGAAAAAAUAUUUAAUCGUCCCAUAUUGAAUCUGGAAUUUUGGUUCUUCCCAGAAUUUGUACUACUUUAUAAUGUCUAUAAAAUAAAACCGUGGAUUAUACCAAGCAAAUUCCUUCUUUUUAAUUUGAAUACAAAUAAAAAUGUUAGUCAAAAUAAAAACCAAAACUUUUUUCUACCAUCAAAUAAAAAAAUAAAAAUAAAGAAUCGAAGUCAAGAAGCAAAAGAACCCCCAAGUCAAAGAGAGCGUGGAUCAGAUAUAGAAAACAAAGGAAAUCUGAGCCCUGUUUUUUCAAAACAUCAAACCGAUCUUGAAAAAGAUUACGUGGAAUCAGACACAAAAAAGGGUAAAAAUAAAAAACAAUACAAAAGCAACACGGAAGCAGAACUAGAUUUGUUCUUGAAACGUUAUUUGCUUUUUCAAUUGAGAUGGAACGGUGCUUUGAAUCAAAGAAUGUUCGAAAAUAUCAAGGUAUAUUGUCUCCUGCUUCGACUGAUAAAUCCAACCAAAAUUACUAUAUCGUCAAUUCAAAGGAGAGAAAUGAGUUUGGAUAUAAUGCUGAUUCAGGCAAAUUUACCUCUUACAGACUUGAUGAAGAAGGGGGUAUUGAUUAUCGAACCUAUUCGGUUGUCUGUAAAAGAUAAUGGACAAUUUAUUAUGUAUCAAACCAUAGGUAUUUCAUUGGUUCAUAAAAGUAAACACCAAACUAAUCAAAGAUACCGAGAACAAAGAUAUGUUGAUAAAAAGAAUUUUGACGAAUUCAUUCUGCAACCUCAAACUCAAAGAAUAAAUACAGAAAAAACUCAUUUUGGUUUGCUUGUUCCUGAAAAUAUUUUAUGGUCUAGACGUCGUAGAGAGUUGAGAAUUCGAAGUUUUUUUAAUUCUUGGAAUUGGAAUGUCGUCGAUAGAAAUUCAGUAUUUUGCAACGAAACCAAUGUAAAAAACUGGAGUCAAUUUUUGGGUGAACGGAAACCCCUUUAUAAAGAUAAAAAUGAAUUAAUUAAAUUUAAGUUCUUUUUUUGGCCUAAUUAUCGAUUAGAAGAUUUAGCUUGUAUGAAUCGUUAUUGGUUUGAUACCAAUAAUGGUAGCCGUUUCAGUAUCUUAAGGAUACAUAUGUAUCCACGAUUGAAAAUUAAUUGAUAGUACUAUAUACCCUGUCUCGUAUAGAGUAUCUGAAAGCAAAUAAAUGCAAACAUGCCUUGUUUUACAUCUCAUUCGAAUCUAAUUCGAGUAGACAAUACUAAAUCAAUAAAAUAAGGUAUUGAUUAGAUCUAGAAAUGAAUCAACAGAAUCUUCUUCAUUUUAGGAUUUUAGGUUUCAAUUAUUCGCUUUUGUGAUUAAAAAAAACGUACCUACCGUCUUUUUGGAUUCCUAUCUGAAUCAAAUUUGAAAUUUGAUUAAUUUAUUGGAAUUGCUAAAAUUAGAGGUUCAUAAAGAAAUUAAGUCUAUAUACCACGUUUAAAUUACUGGCAUUAUUAUUACUGAUCAAUAAAAUUCGAAAAAAUCCAUAUCUGUAAAAUAAAGAAAGGGGAAAUUCAUUUAUGGUAAAAAAUUCUGUCAUUUCAGUUAUUUCUCAAGAAGAAAAGAAAGGAUCUGUUGAAUUUCAAGUAUUCAAUUUCACCAAUAAGAUACGAAGACUUACUUCACAUUUAGAAUUGCACAAAAAAGACUAUUUAUCUCAGAGAGGUUUGAAGAAAAUUUUGGGAAAACGUCAACGACUGCUAGCUUAUUUGGCAAAAAAAAAUAGAGUACGUUAUAAAGAAUUAAUUAAUCGGUUGGACAUUCGAGAGACAAAAACUCGUUAAUUUGAUUAAUUUGAAGAGUUAUUUCAUUUUCACUUAUAUGUUUCGAUUAAAUUUUGAUGAACUUCUUUUCACUUUCAGUAAUUCAUGGAAGAAUGAAUCGUUAAAAAACUUAUGACUGCACCAACUACAAGAAAAGACCUCAUGAUAGUCAAUAUGGGGCCUCAGCACCCAUCAAUGCACGGUGUUCUUCGACUCAUCGUUACUCUAGAUGGUGAAGAUGUUGUCGACUGCGAACCAAUAUUGGGUUAUUUACAUAGAGGGAUGGAGAAAAUUGCGGAAAACCGAACAAUUAUACAAUAUUUGCCUUAUGUAACACGUUGGGAUUAUUUAGCUACUAUGUUCACAGAAGCAAUAACCAUAAAUGGACCCGAACAAUUAGGCAAUAUUCAAGUACCUAAAAGGGCUAGCUAUAUCAGAGUCAUUAUGUUGGAGUUGAGUCGGAUAGCUUCUCAUUUGUUAUGGCUCGGUCCUUUUAUGGCGGAUAUUGGUGCACAGACCCCUUUCUUCUAUAUUUUUAGAGAAAGAGAAUUGAUAUAUGACCUAUUCGAAGCUGCCACCGGUAUGCGAAUGAUGCAUAAUUAUUUUAGGAUUGGAGGAGUGGCUGCCGAUCUACCCUAUGGCUGGAUAGAUAAAUGUUUGGAUUUUUGCGAUUAUUUUUUAACAGGGGUUGCUGAGUAUCAAAAACUUAUUACUCGGAAUCCUAUUUUUUUAGAACGAGUUGAAGGCGUAGGCAUUAUUGGGAGAGACGAGGCAUUAAAUUGGGGUUUAUCGGGACCAAUGCUACGAGCUUCCGGAAUAGAAUGGGAUCUUCGUAAAGUUGAUCAUUAUGAGUCUUACGACGAAUUUGAUUGGCAGGUUCAAUGGCAACGAGAAGGGGAUUCAUUAGCUCGUUAUUUAGUACGAAUCGGUGAAAUGACAGAAUCCAUAAAGAUUAUUCAACAGGCUCUGGAAGGAAUUCCAGGGGGCCUUACGAAAAUUUAGAAAUGCGACGUUUUGACAGAUUAAAAGAUCCUGAAUGGAAUGAUUUUGAAUAUCGGUUUAUUAGUAAAAAGCCUUCUCCAACUUUUGAAUUGUCGAAACAAGAACUUUAUGUGAGAGUUGAAGCCCCAAAAGGAGAAUUGGGGAUUUUUCUGAUAGGAGAUCAGAGCGUUUUUCCUUGGAGAUGGAAAAUUCGCCCACCAGGUUUUAUCAAUUUGCAAAUUCUUCCUCAGUUAGUUAAAAGAAUGAAAUUGGCUGAUAUUAUGACAAUACUAGGUAGCAUAGAUAUCAUUAUGGGAGAAGUUGAUCGUUGAAAUGAUAAUUGAUACAACAGAAAUAGAGACUAUCAAUUCUUUUUCCAAAUUGGAAUCCUUAAAAGAAGUCUAUGGGAUCAUAUGGAUGCUUGUCCCUAUUGUGACUCUUGUAUUAGGAAUCACAAUAGGUGUACUAGUAAUUGUUUGGUUAGAAAGAGAAAUAUCUGCAGGAAUACAACAACGUAUUGGGCCUGAAUAUGCCGGCCCGUUAGGAAUUCUUCAAGCUCUAGCAGAUGGGACAAAACUACUUUUGAAAGAGAACCUUAUUCCAUCUACAGGAGAUACUCGUUUAUUCAGUAUCGGACCAUCCAUAGCAGUAAUAUCUAUCUUUCUAAGUUAUUCAGUAAUUCCUUUUGGUGAUCACCUUGUUCUAGCCGAUCUUAGUAUUGGUGUUUUUUUUUGGAUUGCCAUUUCAAGUAUUGCUCCCGUUGGACUUCUUAUGUCGGGGUAUGGAUCAAAUAAUAAAUAUUCCUUUUUAGGUGGUCUACGGGCAGCUGCUCAAUCAAUUAGUUAUGAAAUACCAUUAGCUCUAUGUGUGUUAUCAAUAUCUCUACGUGUGAUUCGGUGAGACCUAAAAUUUAUCCAAAUUCUUUUCUUUCUAGAAACAAGGAUAAAAAGAUUUGAUUGAUUAUAUAUAUUUUUUUUCUUCAGCAUUUGAGUUGAUGAACUAAAUCAGAUAGUUAUAUGAGUGAAAGAAAACGGCUUCUAAAUUUGCAGUAAAAAAGUUGAGUCUCAUUUCCUAUGUACAAGAAUCAAAUGGUGAAAAAAGUAAACAUAAGCAAGAGAGAUUGUUUACCCCAAGAUUCGUGAAUUGUCAUGAUAGCUUGAAGCGGGUUCAAAAGACCAACUCUAUGGAGUUUUUACUGUCUAUUACCAUAGAUGGAUUUCCACAACGGGAGGUUUUUGAAACAAAAAAUGAGUGGAUGGUUAGGAAGACUAAGAUACACAAAGGAUUAGUAAUUGAGAUUAUGUAAGUUAUCCAAGAGGAUAUUUCUGUACAUAAAAGGAAUUCAAAUUGGGGCUUUACGUUCGUAGAAAUGAUCAAGAAGUACUCCCCAUGAUUCUGAUCCAGAGUAUGUUCCUAUCCACUGAGUAAGUAACUAACUAUCAAGAACGAAGUAAUCUUUUACUUUGGUUAAAGACCCUUUUUCUGAGAAAGGAGAAUAGGAAUGAAAUAAAAAAAUCGAAAUAGAAAGAAAAGAAGCUAAUUGCAAAAGGAAAAAGGAGGGAUGUCUUUUUUUGUUUUUAUUCUUUCUUUCCUAUAAUUCAAUUUUUAUUUCUAUUUAGAGAGAUAAAAUUUUUGUCAUGAUUCAUGAACUAAUGUACUCUCUAAUUUUUUUCGUAAUUGAAAAUUCGAGGUUGAAAUGUAUAUGUGAUAUUGCUAUAAAGCACAUUUUUUUAUUUAAUGAUAAGGUUAUUAAUCAACAAAGAAAAAUUAAAAUUCUUAAAAGAUGAGAUAAAUUCAGAAGCACUUAUUUAUUAGUUUUAAAUAUAGCAGACAGAAUUCCAUUGGUCUAAUUUGGGACCUUAGAAUAGAUUUUGACUCUAUCUGACAAACAUAUCAAGAUAAAGAAUAGGAAAGGGCCCUUAGAUUUAGUUGUGACCUCUGAGGAGCCGUAUGAGGUGAAAAUCUCACGUACGGUUCUGUAAUAGCGAUGGGCACAGUGAUGUUAUCAUCGACUAUGAUUAUCUAACAGUUUAAGUACAGUUGAUAUAGUGGAAGCGCAGUCAAAAUAUGGUUUUUGGGGGUGGAAUUUGUGGCGUCAACCCAUCGGGUUUAUCGUUUUUCUAAUUUCUUCUCUCGCCGAGUGUGAAAGAUUACCUUUUGAUUUACCAGAAGCAGAAGAAGAAUUAGUAGCAGGGUAUCAAACCGAAUAUUCUGGUAUCAAAUUUGGUUUAUUUUACAUUGCUUCAUAUCUGAAUCUACUAGUUUCUUCAUUAUUUGUAACAGUUCUUUACUUGGGAGGUUGGAAUCUUUCUAUUCCGUACAUAUUUGUUCCUGAUAUAUUUGGCAUAAAUAAAGGAGGUAAAGUCUUUGGAACACUAAUUGGUAUCUUUAUCACAUUAGCCAAAACUUAUUUGUUUUUGUUCAUUCCCAUUGCAACAAGAUGGACUUUACCGAGGCUGAGAAUGGACCAACUAUUAAAUCUUGGGUGGAAAUUUCUUUUACCGAUUUCUCUAGGUAAUCUAUUAUUGACAACCUCGUCCCAACUUCUUUCACUGUAAAAGACCACAAUAUCCUAGAUUCACGACUUGUCUCAAACAAGAGAAAGAAACAAGCAUAAAAUCUUUUUUAUAGAUAUUCAACAUAUGCUCCCUAUGAUAACUGAAUUCAUAAAUUAUGGUCAACAAACAAUACGAGCCGCCAGAUAUAUCGGCCAAGGUUUCAUGAUUACCCUGUCCCACGCAAAUCGUUUACCUGUAACUAUUCAAUACCCCUACGAAAAAUUGAUCACAUCGGAACGUUUCCGAGGCCGAAUACACUUUGAAUUUGAUAAAUGCAUUGCUUGUGAAGUAUGUGUGCGUGUAUGUCCUAUAGAUUUACCCGUUGUUGAUUGGAAGUUGGAAACUGAUAUUCGAAAGAAACGAUUGCUUAAUUACAGUAUUGAUUUUGGAAUCUGUAUAUUUUGUGGUAAUUGCGUUGAGUAUUGCCCAACAAAUUGUUUAUCAAUGACCGAAGAAUAUGAACUUUCUACUUAUGAUCGUCACGAAUUGAAUUAUAAUCAAAUCGCUUUGGGUCGCUUACCAAUGUCAGUAAUUGAUGAUUACACAAUUCGAACAAUUUCGAAUUUACCUCAAAUAAACAAUGAAUAAACCCUUAAUUUGAUUCAAAAAAAUUACAAAUUACGAAGGCUUAGUUCGGAUCUAAAACAAUGAGAUUUUUGCUUGGGCAAUUCAAACUAGUGGUUUCUUAAUGAGACUCCUAGCUUAAGCUUAAUUUAGAUUGAAAACAAAACCGAGUUCAAUAUUAUAUAUUAUAAUAGUAAUGGUUUCAAAGUAGAUAAAUGAUAUCAAAAAUAGAUAGGUUUAAACUCCUCUUUCGACGAAUAAAGAAUGGAUAGUGGUCCAAUAAAAUAAAAGCAUCUACGUCAAUUCAUACCCAUUAGACUUUCAUUCAAUUAACAAUUUCAAAGUAUCAUAAAAAAUAGAAAAACUGCUUUUUUCCUGGUCAGGUCAAUAAAGUCAUGAAAUUCUUCGUUUUUGAUUUUUUAUAAAAAAUGGAUUUAUCUGAACCAAUACAUGAUUUUCUUUUAGUCUUUCUAGGAUCGGGUCUUAUAUUAGGGGGUCUAGGAGUGGUAUUACUUCCCAAUCCAAUUUAUUCGGCCUUUUCCUUGGGAUUGGUUCUUGUUUGUACAUCGUUAUUCUAUAUUCUAUCUAACGCCUAUUUUGUAGCUGCUGCGCAGCUACUUAUUUACGUAGGAGCUAUAAAUGUUUUAAUCAUUUUUGCUGUGAUGUUCAUGAAUGGCUCAGAAUAUUACAAGGAUUUUCAUCUUUGGACCGUAGGAGAUGGAAUUACUUCGAUGGUUUGUAUAAGUCUUUUUAUUUCACUAAUUACUACUAUUUCAGAUACGUCAUGGUACGGGAUUAUUUGGACUACAAGAUCAAACCAGAUUAUAGAGCAAGAUUUUCUAAGUAAUAGUCAACAAAUUGGAAUUCAUUUAUCAACAGAUUUUUUUCUCCCAUUUGAACUUAUUUCCAUAAUCCUUUUAGUUGCUUUAAUAGGUGCAAUUGCUGUAGCUCGUCAAUAAAAAAUUUCUAUUAAAACUUGGAAUUCAAAUAAAAUUUUGUUCUGUCUUAUCACAUUAAUUUUCCUUCAAUUCUAUUUGAAUUCUAGCUGGAUAAAUAGAAAGACUUUAGGUCAAUCUAGUAACAAUAUAUUUCUUUGUUCCAUACUUGUUAUAUACUAGUCAAUUAAGUUAGUUGAAUUGUUGUUCAUAUUGAAAGGAGUCGGGAUUGAUAAGGAGUUGUUUAAUGAUUCUCGAACAUGUACUUGUUUUGAGUGCCUAUUUAUUUUCCAUCGGUAUCUAUGGAUUGAUCACAAGUCGAAAUAUGGUUAGAGCCCUUAUGUGUCUUGAACUUAUAUUGAAUGCAGUUAAUAUCAAUUUUGUAACAUUUUCUGAUUUUUUUGAUAAUCGUCAAUUAAAGGGAGACAUUUUCUCAAUUUUUGUUAUAGCUAUUGCAGCCGCUGAAGCAGCCAUUGGCCUGGCUAUUGUUUCAUCAAUUUACCGUAACAGAAAAUCAACUCGUAUCAACCAAUCAAAUUUGUUGAAUAAUUAAUAUUAAUCAUCUAGAUUCUAAUAUUGAGAAAUCUAUUUUAAUUAGCAUGUUUACUACGUAAAGUAUGAUCUUGUUUGCAAAACAUAAGAAAUCAAAGUAUUUUGGCCUCUCUCAUAUCUCAUAAACCAAUCCAGAAAGGGGUUGAUUAGAAAAUUAUGAUAACUCAUUGAUUCAUCUGGUAUCUAAAUAUACGAUUCGUUUCUAAGUUUACUAGAUCGAAAAUUUAGAACAUUCAAAAACGUAUAGGCCCAAUGUCACAUUCAGUAAAGAUUUAUGAUACGUGUAUAGGAUGUACUCAAUGUGUCCGAGCCUGCCCCACUGAUGUAUUAGAAAUGAUACCUUGGGACGGUUGUAAGGCUAAACAAAUUGCUUCUGCUCCACGAACAGAGGACUGUGUUGGUUGUAAGAGAUGUGAAUCCGCCUGUCCAACAGAUUUCUUGAGUGUCCGAGUUUAUUUAUGGCAUGAAACAACUCGCAGUAUGGGUCUAGCUUAUUGAUACGUUCGAGAAAACUCUACUUGAAUCCAUUUAAUUUUUUUACCGACAAACCUGUGCUCGAAAAUAAAAAUAUUUUGAGCACGGGUUUUUUUGGUCCAAGUGUAUCUUGUCUUUACUACGAAUUAUUUUCCUUGGUUAACAAUAAUUGUCGUUUUUCCGAUAUUUGCGGGUUCUUUAAUUUUCUUUCUUCCCCAUAAAGGAAAUAGGGUAAUUAGGUGGUAUACAAUAUGUAUAUGUAUUUUAGAACUCCUUCUAACAACUUAUGCAUUUUGUUAUCAUUUCCAAUCGGAUGAUCCAUUAAUCCAACUAGUAGAGGAUUAUAAAUGGAUCGAUUUUUUUGAUUUCCAUUGGAGAUUAGGAAUAGAUGGACUUUCUAUAGGACCCAUUUUAUUAACAGGAUUUAUCACUACUUUAGCGACUUUAGCGGCUUGGCCAGUUACUCGAGAUUCUAGAUUAUUCCAUUUUCUCAUGUUAGCAAUGUACAGUGGUCAAAUUGGAUUAUUUUCGUCUCGGGACCUUUUACUUUUUUUCAUCAUGUGGGAGUUAGAAUUAAUUCCUGUUUAUCUACUUCUAGCCAUGUGGGGAGGAAAGAAACGUCUGUACUCAGCUACAAAAUUUAUUUUGUACACGGCGGGGGGUUCCGUUUUUCUCUUAAUGGGAGUUUUGGGUGUUGCUUUAUAUGGUUCUAAUGAACCAACAUUAAAUUUUGAAACAUCAGUUAAUCAGUCAUAUCCUGUGGUUUUAGAAAUAAUCUUCUAUAUUGGAUUUUUUAUUGCUUUUGCUGUCAAAUCGCCCAUUAUCCCCCUACACACAUGGUUACCAGAUACCCAUGGAGAAGCACAUUACAGUACUUGUAUGCUUCUAGCCGGAAUCUUAUUAAAAAUGGGAGCGUAUGGAUUAAUUCGAAUCAAUAUGGAAUUAUUACCUCAUGCCCAUUCUAUAUUUUCUCCUUGGUUGAUGAUAAUAGGUACAAUACAAAUAAUCUAUGCAGCUUCAACAUCUCUUGGCCAACGGAAUUUAAAAAAAAGAAUAGCCUAUUCCUCUGUCUCUCAUAUGGGUUUCAUAAUUAUAGGAAUUAGUUCUCUAACCGAUACGGGACUAAAUGGAGCCCUUUUACAAAUAAUCUCUCAUGGAUUUAUUGGUGCUGCACUUUUUUUCUUGGCGGGAACGACUUAUGAUAGAAUCCGCCUUGUUUAUCUUGACGAAAUGGGCGGAAUAGCUAUUCCAAUGCCAAAAAUGUUCACGAUGUUCAGUAGCUUUUCGAUGGCUUCCCUUGCAUUACCAGGUAUGAGUGGUUUUGUUGCCGAAUUGAUAGUAUUUUUUGGAAUAAUUACCGGCCAAAAAUAUCUUUUAAUGCCAAAACUACUAAUUACUUUUGUAAUGGCAAUUGGAAUUAUAUUAACUCCUAUUUAUUCAUUAUCUAUGCCACGCCAGAUGUUCUAUGGAUACAAGUUAUUUAACGCCCCGAAGGAUUCUUUUUUUGAUUCUGGACCGCGAGAGUUAUUUCUUUCGAUCUCCAUCUUUUUACCCGUAAUAGGUAUUGGUAUAUACCCCGAUUUCGUUCUUUCAUUAGCAGUUGACAAGGUCGAAGUUAUUCUAUCUAAUUUUUUUAUAGAUAAUUGGAUGACUGAAAUAAAAAAACCUAUGUUUGUUUUUAAAAACAUUCUUGGACAAUGAAAAAAAGUCUUCUUUUUUCUUCUCUUUUAACUUAAGAAUUAAGUAAAAACAAUGAAAUUGAACUACAUAUGGUAGAAAACCGUGUGAAUCAUCAAUACAAUAUUUGAUUCACACGGUCCGCAUGCUGGUUCAUACAAUGCGUCGCCCGCUCUUGUAUUUGUAAUAACUUGUCUUGAAUUCAAUUAAAUGUUGAUGGAAAAGAACCAUAACUAUGUAACCCUAUUCCUAAUAGAUUGACCCCAAAAUAGCAUAUCCAAAUUAUAAGAAAACCUAUCGACGCUACAAUUGCAGAAUUUGGACCCCGCAAAUUUCUAU